rnacentral:rRNA from 1 species
UACGGAGGAUGCGAGCGUUAUCCGGAUUUAUUGGGUUUAAAGGGUGCGUAGGCGGGCUUUUAAGUCAGCGGUAAAAAUUCGGGGCUCAACCCCGUCCGGCCGUUGAAACUGGGGGCCUUGAGUGGGCGAGAAGAAGGCGGAAUGCGUGGUGUAGCGGUGGAAUGCAUAGAUAUCACGCAGAACCCCGAUUGCGAAGGCAGCCUUCCGGCGCCCUACUGACGCUGAGGCACGAAAGUGCGGGGAUCGAACAGG